GGUAUAAUGGAGAAAUGAAAUACGUAACUACGAAAAAACCAUCAAAUCCGUGGUUUCAAAAAUUGAGACUUUUCAUGGUUAUAUAACCAUGAAAUGAACCACGGGUUUACAACACCAUACCACAUAAUUUUAAGAACAAUGGAAACAAACAUGAUUUCUUAGAAAACCAUACAUUAAUGAACCACGGGAAACCACCAUCCAAACAGGGGGUUAAAAUUCAAAAUAACUAUGCAAUAAGUUUUUUCACCUAAAGUAACAUACAUGAAUGGUAAAUGAUAGGUUUCUUCACCUAAUGUAAUCUACAUGAAUGAAAUAAAUAAAAGAGGAUAAAGAGCCAUUAUACUUUUGUUAGAACCCGUAUUUUUGUACAGUGGAAUAAUCUGGAUUAAUUACGAUGAGUUAGGGACAAAAUUAUUUCGGGAUACAAAGUCGGGAUUCUUGACCUUCGAUUUUAUUUUGAGAUAUAAGUUGUGCAUGAAUUUAUUGGUAUGGAUCAAUUAGGAAAAAUUUGGGACCAAAAGUGAUAAAAUUAGAAGUGGAAAGUCAUCCACAAAUUCCAUGUGGUGCCCACACAAUUUGGUGUCAUCUUUUAAGUGGUCCAACUCAUUUAAUGUGGGCCAAGGGACAACAAUGCACUUCAUAUUAGUUAAAAGAUGACCAUGUAUUCAUCUUUCUCACUUCCCACAAAAAAAAAAAAUAUCUAAAAGUUGAAGGAGAAAACCCCCAACCUCACGGCCAAGUUGAAAAAAAAAUCAAGAUCAAUUCUAGCCUUCCAAAAAUUAUUUCUUUGGCACAAAUCAACUAUAUUGAGGUCCCUAAGUAGCGUGGAAGCAUUGUGGGAGCGAUCAAUCCACUAUUUCUCAUCUUGUGGAAACCCUAGGCUUGUGGAAGUUGAAGAUAAAAAGACCUUGGGCAGCCCGAAUCAUAGUUUGGACUUAGCUGGAGUUGGAUCAUAUUGGAGAGCGUUUGAGGUACAGACGCACAGCCUGGUGAUCCACCUGUUUAGGACACCCUUUCUGCUAUUCGGAGUGCUCCUCUCUUUCCGGAGCUUAUACUUUUGGUAUAUAUAUUUAUUAGUGCAUUUGUAUAUAUUCGUUCAUGGGUACGGCGGGGCCCUGUCCCGUCAUAUGAUUCUGUCGGUCUGUUUAGAGGUCUGUGGACAUGUUUGUGGGUUAGGGUCUUUCUGUAUGGAUGUAUGUACAUGUCGUUUGGGCGAUCCCAUACGCCGAGGCGGCCGGUCCGCAUAUGUUGUUUGGGCGACCCUAUACGCCGAGGCGGCCGGUCCGCAUAUGUUUAUAUAUUGCUUGGUUAGCCCUGUGUGGCUUUCGUUGGUAUUUUCUGCGUGCAGGGUAUAU